CCCUUAGAUGUUCUGGGCCGCACGCGCGCUACACUGACGGAGUCAACGAGUUGUCCUGCAUCGGAAGGUGUGGGUAAUCUUUUGAAACUUCGUCGUGCUGGGGAUAGAUCUUUGCAAUUUUCGAUCUUGAACGAGGAAUUCCUAGUAAGCGUGAUUCAUCAGAUCGCGUUGAUUACGUCCCUGCCCUUUGUACACACCGCCCGUCGCUACUACCGAUUGAAUGGUUUAGUGAGGCCUCGGGACUGGCGCGCUCGAGUAGCAAUACACCUGCGCGCCGGGAACUUGGUCAAACUUGAUCAUUUAGAGGAAGUAAAANUCGUAGCA
rnacentral:rRNA from 1 species